UUUAAGUCCCCCCAAGAAGGGAGACAGAGCCUUGAUUUUACUUUUUCAACAGAAAAACAGUACUUCCAACAAUGCUCUUUUUUAUAGGGAAAAGACACAAACUUCUCUGAGCAACGUUAGAAGAUGCCAGCUUAUUUUUUAACAUUCCUCCCCUCCACUCAACUCUAAAAUGUGAUCAGCGUGCAAAAUAGAUCUCUGCAGAGCAAGACACUGUUGGAUACUGCAGUGAUUGCUUCAGUACCUGAGGAGUUGUGAACACUGGUGAGCAUCGUACAAUCGUCCACUUCUGAUCUUAAGAUGAAGUAAUUAUGAUUAAAUUAUUGAUAAAGCAGCUGAAGAUUGCUGGGCCUAGGAUAUUCACUUGAAGAACUUCUGAGGAGAUGUCCUGUAGCUCUGGAAGAGCAUUAUCAAAAAGAGCAUCUUAAAUGGAGUGAAAAUAAAUCUGGUGAAUUGGAGGGUGAUGAGGUGCAGGAGGAGGACAGCACAAAGCAACAGAGAUACGUGAUAAUCAAAAGACGAUUUCACACUGGAAGGAGAGUUCCAGUUGGUAAUAAAACCAAACCUGAAAACAGCACAAGAGAAUAAUGGGAACAGAAGUCAACAUUACCCAAGAAGAUUAUCAGGCUUUGUUGGCUUUCUAAGACACAAUAACACCAAAGCAACACACAACUGAACAGCAAAAAAAAAUCAAAUCCUUUGGCUCUCGAAGUUACAGUUUCAGAUGUGAAACUAAAAACACAGAAUCAAUGUCCAGCUUUACACUAAUGCAACUUUUGUGA